rnacentral:rRNA from 1 species
CCUAUAAGACUGGGAUAACUUCGGGAAACCGGAGCUAAUACCGGAUAACAUUUAGAACCGCAUGGUUCUAAAGUGAAAGAUGGUUUUGCUAUCACUUAUAGAUGGACCCGCGCCGUAUUAGCUAGUUGGUAAGGUAACGGCUUACCAAGGCGACGAUACGUAGCCGACCUGAGAGGGUGAUCGGCCACACUGGAACUGAGACACGGUCCAGACUCCUACGGGAGGCAGCAGUAGGGAAUCUUCCGCAAUGGGCGAAAGCCUGACGGAGCAACGCCGCGUGAGUGAUGAAGGGUUUCGGCUCGUAAAACUCUGUUAUUAGGGAAGAACAAAUGUGUAAGUAACUGUGCACAUCUUGACGGUACCUAAUCAGAAAGCCACGGCUAACUACGUGCCAGCAGCCGCGGUAAUACGUAGGUGGCAAGCGUUAUCCGGAAUUAUUGGGCGUAAAGCGCGCGUAGGCGGUUUCUUAAGUCUGAUGUGAAAGCCCACGGCUCAACCGUGGAGGGUCAUUGGAAACUGGGAAACUUGAGUGCAGAAGAGGAAAGUGGAAUUCCAUGUGUAGCGGUGAAAUGCGCAGAGAUAUGGAGGAACACCAGUGGCGAAGGCGACUUUCUGGUCUGUAACUGACGCUGAUGUGCGAAAGCGUGGGGAUCAAACAGGAUUAGAUACCCUGGUAGUCCACGCCGUAAACGAUGAGUGCUAAGUGUUAGGGGGUUUCCGCCCCUUAGUGCUGCAGC